rnacentral:rRNA from 1 species
CUUUGGCACCCGACUUGUAAUUUGGAGAGGCAUCUUUGGAGAUGGCAUUGUCCCAAAUUCCUUGGAACAGGAUGUCGCAGAGGGUGAGAAUCCCGUAUCUGGACGGCUGUCCAUCUCCAUUAUGGGGUGUCUUCGACGAGUCGAGUUGUUUGGGAAUGCAGCUCAAAAUGGGUGGUAAAUGUCAUCUAAAGCUAAAUAUUGGCGAGAGACCGAUAGCGCACAAGUAGAGUGAUCGAAAGAUGAAAAGCACUUUGAAAAGAGAGUCAAAAAGUACGUGAAAUUGCUGAAAGGGAAGCGCUUGAGACCAGACUCAACUCCUUGAUGUUAACCCGGGCUUAGGUCGGGUAAAAUUAUGUCUUGGAUUGAGCCAGCAUCGGUUUUGGGGGUGGGAUAAAAGAAAAGGGAAUGUAGCUUCCUCACGGGAGUGUUCUUUAGCCCUGGUCAUAAUGCCACCACCAAGGACCGAGGACCGCGCUUUGGCUAGGAUGCUGGCGUAAUGGUCUUAAGCGACCCGUCUUGAAACACGGACCAAGGAGUCUAACAUCUAUGCGAGUGUUCGGGUGGAAAACCCUUGCGCGCAAUGAAAGUGAACGGAGGUGGGAACCCGCGAGGGUGCACCAUCGACCGAUCCUGGUGUCAUCGGAAGGAUUUGAGUAAGAGCAUAGCUGUUGGGACCCGAAAGAUGGUGAACUAUGCCUGAAUAGGGUGAAGCCAGAGGAAACUCUGGUGGAGGCUCGCAGCGGUUCUGACGUGCAAAUCGAUCGUCAAAUUUGGG